rnacentral:rRNA from 1 species
UGGGGAAUAUUGCACAAUGGAGGAAACUCUGAUGCAGCGACGCCGCGUGAGUGAAGAAGUAUUUCGGUAUGUAAAGCUCUAUCAGCAGGGAAGAAAAUGACGGUACCUAACUAAGAAGCACUGGCUAAAUACGUGCC